rnacentral:rRNA from 1 species
CCCGCUGAACUUAAGCAUAUCAAUAAGCGGAGGAAAAGAAACCAACAGGGAUUACCCUAGUAACGGCGAGUGAAGCGGUAACAGCUCAAAUUUGAAAUCUAGCCCUCACGGGUUCGAGUUGUAAUUUGUAGAGGAUGUUUCGGAUAAGGCUUUGGUUUAAGUUUCUUGGAACAGAACGUCAUAGAGGGUGAGAGUCCCGUCUAGAACCGAUAGCCGCAUUCAUGUGAAACUCCUUCGACGAGUCGAGUUGUUUGGGAAUGCAGCUCAAAAUGGGUGGUAAAUUUCAUCUAAAGCUAAAUAUUGGCCAGAGACCGAUAGCGCACAAGUAGAGUGAUCGAAAGAUGAAAAGCACUUUGAAAAGAGAGUUAAACAGUAUGUGAAAUUGUUGAAAGGGAAGCGCUUGCAACCAGACUUGUGUUUAAUGGUUCCCUCGAUCUUUUGAUCGGGCUAUUCCAUUAUAUCCAGGCCAACAUCAGUUCGGGUGGUCGGUUAAAGACUUUUAGGAAUGUAUCUACCUUCGGGUCGACUUAUAGCCUAAUGUGUAAUGCGACCUACCUGGACUGAGGAACGCGCUUUUUGCUCGGAUGUUGGCGUAAUGGUUGUAAGCGGCCCGUCUUGAAACACGG